rnacentral:misc_RNA from 1 species
GAUGAAGAACGCAGCGAAAUGCGAUAAGUAGUGUGAAUUGCAGAAUUCAGUGAAUCAUCGAAUCUUUGAACGCACAUUGCGCCCCUCGGUAUUCCGUGGGGCAUGCCUGUUCGAGCGUCAUUUAACCCCUCAAGCCUAGCUUGGUAUUGGGUGCUUGUCCCGCCUCUCGCGCAGCGACUCACCUCAAAGUCAUUGGCAGCCCGCAUCUCGCCGGCCGUGAGCGCAGCACAGACGCGCUCUUGGCAACGACGGAUCGGCUCUCCAAAAGCUUAUUUCAACCACUGACCUCGGAUCAGGUAGGGAUACCCGCUGAACUUAAGCAUAUCAAUAAGCGGAGGA